rnacentral:rRNA from 1 species
GAUGAACGCUGGCGGCGUGCCUAAUACAUGCAAGUCGAGCGAACAGACGAGGAGCUUGCUCCUCUGACGUUAGCGGCGGACGGGUGAGUAACACGUGGAUAACCUACCUAUAAGACUGGGAUAACUUCGGGAAACCGGAGCUAAUACCGGAUAAUAUAUUGAACCGCAUGGUUCAAUAGUGAAAGACGGUUUUGCUGUCACUUAUAGAUGGAUCCGCGCCGCAUUAGCUAGUUGGUAAGGUAACGGCUUACCAAGGCAACGAUGCGUAGCCGACCUGAGAGGGUGAUCGGCCACACUGGAACUGAGACACGGUCCAGACUCCUACGGGAGGCAGCAGUAGGGAAUCUUCCGCAAAGGGCGAAAGCCUGACGGAGCAACGCCGCGUGAGUGAUGAAGGUCUUCGGAUCGUAAAACUCUGUUAUUAGGGAAGAAAAAAUGUGUAAGUAACUAUGCACGUCUUGACGGUACCUAAUCAGAAAGCAACGGCUAACUACGUG